CGUAAAGAGCUCGUAGGCGGUUUGUCGCGUCUGUCGUGAAAGUCCGGGGCUUAACCCCGGAUCUGCGGUGGGUACGGGCAGACUAGAGUGCAGUAGGGGAGACUGGAAUUCCUGGUGUAGCGGUGGAAUGCGCAGAUAUCAGGAGGAACACCGAUGGCGAAGGCAGGUCUCUGGGCUGUAACUGACGCUGAGGAGCGAAAGCAUGGGGAGCGAACAGGAUUAGAUACCCUGGUAGUCCAUGCCGUAAACGUUGGGCACUAGGUGUGGGGACCAUUCCACGGUUUCCGCGCCGCAGCUAACGCAUUAAGUGCCCCGCCUGGGGAGUACGGCCGCAAGGCUAAAACUCAAAGGAAUUGACGGGGGCCCGCACAAGCGGCGGAGCAUGCGGAUUAAUUCGAUGCAACGCGAAGAACCUUACCAAGGCUUGACAUGUUCUCGAUCGCCGUAGAGAUACGGUUUCCCCUUUGGGGCGGGAUCACAGGUGGUGCAUGGUUGUCGUCAGCUCGUGUCGUGAGAUGUUGGGUUAAGUCCCGCAACGAGCGCAACCCUCGUUCCAUGUUGCCAGCACGUAAUGGUGGGGACUCAUGGGAGACUGCCGGGGUCAACUCGGAGGAAGGUGGGGACGACGUCAAAUCAUCAUGCCCCUUAUGUCUUGGGCUUCACGCAUGCUACAAUGGCCGGUACAAUGGGUUGCGAUACUGUGAGGUGGAGCUAAUCCCAAAAAGCCGGUCUCAGUUCGGAUUGGGGUCUGCAACUCGACCCCAUGAAGUCGGAGU
rnacentral:rRNA from 1 species